UCCUUGAUGGUCCAGUGGCUAGGAUACAACGUUCUCACCGUUGCGGCCGGGGUUCGAUUCCCCGUCAGGGAG